ensembl:lncRNA
GUCUUGAACCUUUUGAUGGCUUCAGAAUCCAGCUCAAAUACUGUGAUGGUUCCAUGAAGUCGAGGAGGUUCCUACCUACACAGUCAUUGCAGGUGUUUCCUACUCUACUCUCUCAUCUUGAGAUUAACAAGCAUGUUAUUUCUCAAUUGGUUCAAAUUUACCAAAAUGUUGUUUGCUAAGAUCUCUUGAUAUUUAAAUUAAGUUGAGCUAUUUUGCAGUACAGUACCAGACAAAAGUUUGGACACAGUUUACCAUCCAAGAAAAUUGGAAAGAGUGUCAAAACUUUUGACUAGUACUGUACAUGAACCUCUGUAUAGGCUAUAAGUGUGUAUGUUUUUCCUGGUAUCUGUUUUUUUUUUUUUUUUUUUGUAUUUAAAUAGAACCUUGGAUUACUAUGGAUUACGCUGGCAAUGACAACUCGGCCAGUGAAAUAUUCUGGUUGAGCAUGCCAAGUGCAGGCACACGGCUAUCAAGCACUAUGACUGGAACUCUUGAAGAACAUAUCUUGACUACACCUUGCACAUUAUUUAUUCAGUGGUUGGAAGGAGAGGAGGUGGAAGCAAUGUGCUAUAGAGAUACUCACAGAGCUCACCAACAAAAUUAAUUUGGAGGAUCGACACACGUCAAAUAUGAUUAAUGCAUGCAGAGAUGACAUUUAUGGAUCUGCACAACGUGCAUUCACUAGACGCCUGUUCGACCCAUAUAAGCCACUGGGAGUCGUGUUUAUGGAUAUUGGCAAUAAUGCAGAAGGGGCAGUGGAUGAUGGUGGGCCAACAUGGGAAUUUUGUUGUCCCCUAAUGAAGGAUAUACAGAACAGGUGCCUGUUUGAAGGGCCAGAUCAUUCAAAAUUACUGGCCCUGGAUAGUCAUGCCAUCUGAAAAGGGGAUUACAAAUUGCUCGGAAAAAUGAUCAGUAUCUGCCUGAUACAUGGUGGUGUAGCACCCCACUUCUUUGCACCACGACUGUUCAGUCUGGUUGUGGGUGAGGCUACAGAAGAUGUGGACCUGACAGAAAUUGUUGAUGAGGUGUUCAGGAGCCAGCUGCAGAAGAUCCAAGAUGCCAUAACCAUCGAGGAGACCAGGGAGGCUUUAGAAGAGGCUUCAAACAGCCUUUCUCUCCUUGGGUCUUUAAACAUCCAGUGUCGGACUCUGGAAGACAGGGUCGUCCAGUGUGCAGCGAAGUUCUACCUGGAGGGGCGACUGAAUGCUGCAAUGGAACAGUUGAGUCAAGAAUUUCAUAUUUGGGACACAUUUUGCCAUCAAGAUGACUGCUCAUAAAAGUACUAAUUGAAUUGAUUCAAGAAGAAAAAAAAAGGCAAAAACAUGAACAAAUUAUUUAAGAUGUGAAAAUAGUAGAAAUCACAACAAACAAACCAAGAUCAGAUAUAUG